AGUGAACGCUGGCGGUAGGCCUAACACAUGCAAGUCGAACGGCAGCACAGUAAGAGCUUGCUCUUACGGGUGGCGAGUGGCGGACGGGUGAGGAAUACAUCGGAAUCUACUUUUUCGUGGGGGAUAACGUAGGGAAACUUACGCUAAUACCGCAUACGACCUACGGGUGAAAGCAGGGGAUCUUCGGACCUUGCGCGAUUGAAUUAGCCGAUGUCGGAUUAGCUAGUUGGCGGGGUAAAGGCCCACCAAGGCGACGAUCCGUAGCUGGUCUGAGAGGAUGAACAGCCAAAAUGGAAAUGAGACAAGGUCCAGAAUCCUAAGGGAGGCAGCAGUGGGGAAUAUUGGACAAUGGGCGCAAGCCUGAUCCAGCCAUACCGCGUGGGUGAAGAAGGCCUUCGGGUUGUAAAGCCCUUUUGUUGGGAAAGAAAAGCAGCAGGUUAAUACCCCGCUGUUCUGACGGUACCCAAAGAAUAAGCACCGGCUAACUUCGUG
rnacentral:rRNA from 1 species